rnacentral:misc_RNA from 1 species
UUGGCAAGCUUCUCCUCUGUCUGGGU